GUUUCAGGACAGCCAGGGCUGCAAAGAGAAACCCUGUCUCAAAGAACAAAAACAAAACAAACAAACAAACAAACAACUCUGCAGAGGAAUGGAUACAGAUAUAAAGGUUGCAAAUCUGAAUAAUAUCACACCUCAAUAUACAGCUCAGAAAAUGUGGUAAUUUGACAGGUGAGUUAGACAAAGUCUCAAAACAAAGGUUUGUCUGACCUCCUCUCCUCUCCCUCCAUCUUCUUUCUCCUCACAAAGAGCUUUCUACACAAUUUUCUGUUUGCCUGAAGCCUAGAUCCAUGGAGGAGCACAGCUGCUUUCAAGUCUCUUCUCUGAAAUCUCACUGAUCAAGAAAGGAAAGAUUAAGCCCUUACCAAAAAGAAGGAAACUGAAAAUCAAACACCACAGCUCUUGCUAAGGACGCUUUGACCCAGGCCAUUGAAGUAUUUUCUGGGUUCUUCCUAUCAGUUACUGUUCCUCUAAAACCACAGCCCUGUCCCACUUCCCUGUCUCUUAUGAAGAGGACUGUUGGGUUUCAUUUGGCUCUGUCUUCAAGUUUACACAUCUUAUUGCCAUUACUUGCUUGCUUUCUUGCUUGUUUUUGAAAGCCAAGCUGAGUUCUCAUGUUCUCCCACAUAUAUGUGUACAUUAAUGAAUUGUGAUACACUUCUCUUAUUAACCUGUCUUUUGUUGUAGGGGCAUUGAUCACACUCUGUGAUGGACAUAAGAGGGUGUCUUAGUUACUCUUCUAUUUCUGUGAAGAGACACCAUUACCAAGUCCACCAACUGGGAGCCAAACAUUCAAGUAUAUGAGCCCAUUCUCAUCCAAACCAACACAGAGAGGCCACCCAGUUUUGUACUUCUGAAGUUAAAUGGAAACUUUUUAUCUCUUUAAGAAGAGGGUAAUGGGUUCCAGAGAAAAGAGAGUUGAUAGAAGUCCUACAGAUGAUACUGAGGAGACAAUCUAAAACAAUGUGAACAAAUCAUCCAGUGCAGAAGACAAGCAUGUCACUCCCCAGCAUCCGACCAGCUGAAUAAGGCAAUGACAAUAGUGUUCUUCUUCGAGCGGUUUAUUCAGCAACCCUUGUAUUGUAAGCUUCUUUCGUGCUGCCAGCAGCCACCCACACAACCACCUGCAGCCCCUUAAAGCUUUGCCUCGCUCCUAUCAGUAACUGCCACAAGAACACUGGUAAUUGGUCACUCCGUAUGACGUGAGGCGGGAUGAUCGGGCAACCACACCUCUUAGCGCAAGCUUUCCAUAUAUGGAGUUGUUUUUCUCUCAAGCAGUGCUCAGUCAUCCUGGCUGGCCUUUUGUCAAGCGCCAUCUUGUAAUGGCACCGGUGGAGCCGCUUCUCACACAAGCACCCAGAGAAUCCGGAGCAGGUAUCUGUAAUGUCUCUUAACAUCACAAGGAGGACUGGAGAGAGAAGGAAAGGGAGGAGGAUACAGAAAGAGAUGGUGGUGGAAGUUACCUUAUAUUUAUGGAGUUUUAUUCCAAGAAGCAAGCCGUGAUUUUCCAAAUGAAUGCACUGCAUACGAAUUAUAAUAGAUAAAAUAUUUAUAUAUUCAAAACAUACAUUAAAAAAUCUGUUUCCAUUCAUGA